AUGUACUACUUCCGCGUAUUAAUCUAAAAUGAGACGAUUCAGCGUGAAAUUAUUGUAAACAAACCCACAUGGAGUACAAAUGAUUUACAAUGGAAGUGACAGGCUUCUCUUCAACAUUAGCAAGGAUGGACCAAAGCUAUGAAAAUUGGACAGUCUCAAAGACACAAUUUUAGUCAGUAUAGAUGUGUCCUUACGGAGGCAGCUAACAAAUAGCAGGAUAAUUAACAUUGCAUGGUGAACAUGUAGAAAUUUCGCUCUGUGUCAUCUCUAAAUAAGAAAAGCUCAACUCAGCACAACCGCAG